GCUAAUUAGACAGAUGACAGACAGGUGUGAACAGAUAGUCAGGCUGGUGAGGAGCGCACAGGGCGCAGGAGGGAAACUGAGCAGAAGACGCCACACGAAACACAAAUAAAGUGAAACCUAAAUGACAGGAGAGGGGAAUGAAAAACAUGAGGAGAGCCAACAUGUACGAUGAUCCUGGUGAUCAUCAGUGCGGACAUCAGUAAAGAUAAAACCAUCUUCAUCUUCCAUCAGCACCAGUGGCAGUGUAACAGUGCGCACACACACCACACACACACACACACACACACAGAUGCCAUCCUGUUCUCAUCUUAUGGAACAGCGAUAUGAAACAAACUGCUAACAAGCAUUGGAAGGCAGAAAAUGGCCCCAGCAGAACAGAAGACGUCACACAUCAACACGAGGGUCAAUUACUGCACAUGCAGAAGAACACUCUAUUUUCUUCACCCAUUGAUGAUAUUGAUUCCUUGUGGUCAGAGGCACUUCCCUGCCGGCUGAUGUGUACAGGAGCUGAUUAGAGGGGUGAUUUAUGACUGACCGUGAAUAAUGGCUCUCUGAACUCGGCCAGAUUGACCCGAGAGGAGCGACGCCGGGGAUGCAUGGCGAAAAAGACAAAUGGGUUAAGCGAGGUAAAGCGGGACAGAGGGAACGAGAUGAAGGGGCACAUAAGAGCAUUAGGCUGCUCCUGUGCACAAGCCCGGCUUUACUGUGAAGCUCAUUGUCUCGGGCCAAAGCAGACCUGAGACCUGCCAACUGCAUUCAUCCCUCUCUGCUUUGUCAGGGCUGACUCUCUGAAGGCUCAUCUUCCACAUGGCAGGAAAGGGACAGUUCACCCAAAAAUCUGAUAUACAUGUUUUUCUUCUUCCUUGUAUUUGUCUAUCAAGAUUGUUUUGGUGUUUAGUUUUUCAGAUGUUCAAAAAAUGUAUUAAACUUCUUGAAUACAACGAUUGCAAUCAGUUUGAGGUGUUCAAACACAUAUUUCAGAAAUCUUGACCCAGUUAUUGGAGAUAAUCCACAGAUCUGUUAUAGGUAGGAACUAUGUAGGAACUAUUUUCUCCCCCUUCCUAUAAGUAACUUUACACCUACUACUACGACUUUUACUACAUUAAUCUUGUCCUCUUCUUAACUAAGCUUAGUCAGUUCAGCGAGCUAGCCACUUGUCCCUGACUUCCCUCUGCGCUGUGAUGUGGUAGAACUAGUUCCAUCGUUAAACUACUCGCAGCCAUGUCUUGGAAUUAUCAUGAGUAAGCGGGUCCAGAUUUCUAGAAAGAGACAUUGUUGUCGAGUUUUGAAGCUUGUCUUUUUCACACUUUUAUAGCAUGAAUGAGAGUUUAGCGGUACUACAGUCCACCAGGUCAACUGUGACAUGUUGUGUUCAACUUAACUUUUCUUCUUCUAAAGUUUAACGUCAAAAAAGUAAAUAAAACAAGACUUCAGCUGAAACUGGAGAUAAGACGGUAGAAGUACUCCACGUAUGUGAAUCUUAAGUCAAUGAGUUUUCUACAACAUGUUCCUGAUAAUGUUUCACAAUAAAAGCAUUGUUAAGAAAUGAA